rnacentral:rRNA from 1 species
AUUCCGUAGGUGAACCUGCGGAGGGAUCAUUACCGAGUUUACAACUCCCAAACCCCUGUGAACAUACCACUUGUUGCCUCGGCGGAUCAGCCCGCUCCCGGUAAAACGGGACGGCCCGCCAGAGGACCCCUAAACUCUGUUUCUAUAUGUAACUUCUGAGUAAAACCAUAAAUAAAUCAAAACUUUCAACAACGGAUCUCUUGGUUCUGGCAUCGAUGAAGAACGCAGCAAAAUGCGAUAAGUAAUGUGAAUUGCAGAAUUCAGUGAAUCAUCGAAUCUUUGAACGCACAUUGCGCCCGCCAGUAUUCUGGCGGGCAUGCCUGUUCGAGCGUCAUUUCAACCCUCAAGCACAGCUUGGUGUUGGGACUCGCGUUAAUUCGCGUUCCCCAAAUUGAUUGGCGGUCACGUCGAGCUUCCAUAGCGUAGUAGUAAAACCCUCGUUACUGGUAAUCGUCGCGGCCACGCCGUUAAACCCCAACUUCUGAAUGUUGACCUCGGAUCAGGUAGGAAUACCCGCUGAACUUAAGCAUAUCAAUAAGCGGAGGAAAU